rnacentral:lncRNA from 1 species
AGAUUUGUUUAACACGGUUCAUGAUAUGAUAUGAUAUGAUCCUUUCAAACAUUGGGUAAAUGUCCUAAAGUAGACACCGUAGAAAAUGACAAGCCUGCCCAUCUAUGCUCACCGCAUCUUUAUGACGUUGACAGUAGUCGUCUAACGCAAGGCUUGUAUUUGAAGGUUAGUUCGGUGGACAAUGGCUAUUCUGAGCAGAAGUGCUCUGACCGUUGGGGGAAUAACUUGGCGGAGAAGAACACCCAGUGCCAUUUCCUUCGCUGACACGAAGCUAGCCAAUGCUUAAGAGUGUCGUGGAUCUUAGCUAAAGGCUGCAGCAUAGGUGGAAAUAGCUAUACACUCCAAGAAAAUUAGAACGCACAGAACUCUGUGAAUGUGUGCACAAGUUCUACAGAUUUUUUCUCAUGCGUUCUUUUUUUCCCCGUUUUCAUCCGUUCUUCUUUCAGGGUCAUUGGUUUGCUUUUUUUGAGGUCCAGACAGAUCCAUGGGGAGCCAAAAGGCCACUAGAAGGGUUUGGUCACAUCUCAAGGUGGCCGAUAUCUACGUCAGACACCAAUGUGGACUUAAACAUACGAUAACUACAGUAGAUUCAAUUUUUGAUUCUUUCUACACUUUUUAUGGAGUUCUCUUUGUACAUACAAUAUGAGAGUGCCCAUAUUAUAUACUUUCACCAUUCCCCUUUUACCAAAUGUGUUACAAGUCAAUUACCCUCUCUUCUAUCUUUUUCUUUCUGUGAGCAUGGUUAGGGCUGUGGCGGUCAUGACAUUUUGUCAGACAGUUAUUGUCAUGCAAAAGACCGCCAGUCUCACGGGUCUGUUGACAGCCCCUCUCUCUGUGCGCUGGAGAAAGGAAUGAAGGAGAGCGAGGAGGAGAUGGAAACGCAUGGUGGUGAGAGCAGGCGGCUCGGAGCAGUUCGGAGCUCUGGCAUGAGACAACGUGUCUCUAUCGUGACACACCGAC